AGAGUUUGAUCCUGGCUCAGGACGAACGCUGGCGGCGUGCCUAAUACAUGCAAGUCGAACGGAGGUCGCCAUGCGGAUCUCUUCGGAGAGAAGCGUGGCCAUACCUCAGUGGCGAACGGGUGAGUAACACGUGGGUAACCUGCCUGUAAGUCGGGGAUAACUGCGGGAAACCGCAGCUAAUACCGGAUAAGUCGGGAGGUUCGCAUGAACCUUUCGGUAAAGGAGCUACGGUUCCGCUUACAGAUGGGCCCGCGGCGCAUUAGCUAGUUGGUGGGGUAACGGCCUACCAAGGCGACGAUGCGUGGCCGACCUGAGAGGGUGACCGGCCACACUGGGACUGAGACACGGCCCAGACUCCUACGGGAGGCAGCAGUAGGGAAUCUUCCGCAAUGGGCGAAAGCCUGACGGAGCAACGCCGCGUGAGCGAGGAAGGUCUUCGGAUCGUAAAGCUCUGUUGCCAGGGAAGAAAAGGCGCUUGUUGACUGCAGGCGCAUUGACGGUACCUGAGACAGAAAGCCCCGGCUAACUACGUGCCAGCAGCCGCGGUAAU
rnacentral:rRNA from 1 species